rnacentral:rRNA from 1 species
GGUAACUUUCAGCAGUGAGGAAGGUGGAUAUGUUAAUAGCAUACUCAUUUGACGUUAGCUGCAGAAGAAGCACCGGCUAACUCCGUGCCAGCAGCCGCGGUAAUACGGAGGGUGCGAGCGUUAAUCGGAAUUACUGGGCGUAAAGCGCAUGCAGGUGGUUUGUUAAGUCAGAUGUGAAAGCCCCGGGGCUCAACCUCGGAAUUGCAUUUGAAACUGGCAACUAGAGUACUGUAGAGGGGGUAGGAAUUUCAGGUGUAGCGGUGAAAUAGCGUAGAGAUCUGAAGGAAGUACCCGGUGGCGAAGGACGGCCCCCCUCGGACAGAUACUGACACUCAGAUGCGAAAGCGUGGGGAGCAAACAGGAUUAGAUAACCUGGUAG